rnacentral:rRNA from 1 species
GACGAACGCUGGCGGCGUGCUUAACACAUGCAAGUCGAACGGAAAGGCCCCUUUGGGGGUACUCGAGUGGCGAACGGGUGAGUAACACGUGAGUAACCUGCCCUUGACUUCGGGAUAACUUCAGGAAACUGGGGCUAAUACCGGAUAGGAAUCCUUGCUGCAUGGUGGGGGUUGGAAAGCUUCGGCGGUUUUGGAUGGACUCGCGGCUUAUCAGCUUGUUGGUGGGGUAGUGGCUUACCAAGGCUUUGACGGGUAGCCGGCCUGAGAGGGCGACCGGCCACAUUGGGACUGAGAUACGGCCCAGACUCCUACGGGAGGCAGCAGUGGGUAAUAUUGCACAAUGGGCGGAAGCCUGAUGCAGCAACGCCGCGUGCGGGAUGACGGCCUUCGGGUUGUAAACCGCUUUCAGCAGGGGCGAAGCUUGUGGUGACGGUACCUGCAGAAGAAGCACCGGCUAACUACGUG